ACUGGCAUCCCGGACCGCUACGGCCUAGUUUCCGUUAGCGGUCGUCGGCAAGAAGAUGCAGGAUUUUUCUUCUACGUGUGAUCUUUCGCCAUGGAUAAACCCAAGUCAUUCUGCUUCUGCUACGCCGCCGAUGCGCUAUGCCUGCCCUAGUCUGGGCCUCCGGGGGUACCGGUGUAACUAUUGUGCUUCCGUGCAAGCGCAUUUCGGCUGCGCAAUAAUAGCGAUUGAACGAUUCAUCCCACGGCCAACCGGGUGUGUUCCAGGGUUUGGGGCCCCCGGUAAAGUGCCAUA
rnacentral:sRNA from 1 species